GACGAACGCUGGCGGCGUGCUUAACACAUGCAAGUUGAACGGAAAGGCCCUGCUUUUGUGGGGUGCUCGAGUGGCGAACGGGUGAGUAACACGUGAGUAACCUGCCCUUGACUUUGGGAUAACUUCAGGAAACUGGGGCUAAUACCGGAUAGGAGCUCCUGCUGCAUGGUGGGGGUUGGAAAGUUUCGGCGGUUGGGGAUGGACUCGCGGCUUAUCAGCUUGUUGGUGGGGUAGUGGCUUACCAAGGCUUUGACGGGUAGCCGGCCUGAGAGGGUGACCGGCCACAUUGAGACUGAGAUACGGCCCAGACGCCUACGGGAGGCAGCAGUGGGGAAUAUUGCACAAUGGGCGGAAGCCGGAUGCAGCAACGCCGCGUGCGGGAUGACGGCCUUCGGGUUGUAAACCGCUUUCGCCUGUGACGAAGCGUGAGUGACGGUAAUGGGUAAAGAAGCACCGGCUAACUACGUG
rnacentral:rRNA from 1 species